rnacentral:rRNA from 1 species
CCGGCGACCGGCGCACGGGUGAGUAACACGUAUGCGACCUGCCCCCCGCAGGGGGAUAACCGGGAGAAAUCCCGACUAAUACCGCGUAACGCCGCGGACCUGCAUGGGUCUGCGGCCAAAGGAAGCGAUUCCGGCGGGGGAUGGGCAUGCGGCGCAUUAGCUAGUCGGCGGGGUAACGGCCCACCGAGGCGACGAUGCGUAGGGGUUCUGAGAGGAAGGUCCCCCCACACUGGUACUGAGACACGGACCAGACUCCUACGGAAGGCAGCAG